rnacentral:rRNA from 1 species
GACGUAGGGCGCGAGCGUUGUCCGGAUUUAUUGGGCGUAAAGAGCUCGUAGGCGGCUUGUCGCGUCGACUGUGAAAACCCGCGGCUCAACUGCGGGCUGGCAGUCGAUACGGGCAGGCUAGAGUUCGGUAGGGGAGACUGGAAUUCCUGGUGUAGCGGUGAAAUGCGCAGAUAUCAGGAGGAACACCGGUGGCGAAGGCGGGACUCUGGGCCGAUACUGACGCUGAGGAGCGAAAGCCAGGGGAGCAAACGGG